GGAAUAUUGGACAAUGGUGGGAACACUGAUCCAGCCAUGCCGCGUGCAGGAAGACUGCCCUAUGGGUUGUAAACUGCUUUUAUACGGGAAGAAACACUCUCACGUGUGAGAGCUUGACGGUACCGUAAGAAUAAGGAUCGGCUAACUCCGUGCCAGCAGCCGCGGUAAUACGGAGGAUCCAAGCGCUAUCCGGAAGCAUUGGGUUUAAAGGGUCCGUAGGCGGGCUUGUAAGUCAGUGGUGAAAUCCGGCAGCUUAACUGUCGAACUGCCAUUUAUACUGCUAGUCUUGAAUUACUAUGAAGUGGUGAGAAUAUGUAGUGUAGCGGUGAAAUGCUUAGAUAUUACAUGGAAUACCAAUUGCGAAGGCAGAUCACUAAUAGUAUAUUGACGCUGAGGGACGAAAGCGUGGGUAGCGAAC
rnacentral:rRNA from 1 species